rnacentral:rRNA from 1 species
UACGUAGGGGGCAAGCGUUGUCCGGAUUUAUUGGGCGUAAAGAGCGUGUAGGCGGCCAGAUAGGUCCGUCGUGAAAACUCGAGGCUCAACCUCGAGACGCCGAUGGAAACCAUUUGGCUAGAGUCCGGAAGAGGAGAGUGGAAUUCCUGGUGUAGCGGUGAAAUGCGCAGAUAUCAGGAAGAACACCCGUGGCUAAGGCGGCUCUCUAGUACGGUACUGACGCUGAGACGCGAAAGCGUGGGGAGCGAACAGG